UACAGAGGUCUCAAGCGUUGUUCGGAUUCAUUGGGCGUAAAGGGUGUGUAGGUGGCGCCGUAAGUCGGGUGUGAAAUUUCGAGGCUCAACUUCGAGCUGUCGGUGGAAACUGUCUGGCUAGAGUCCGGAAGAGGAGAAUGGAAUUCCUGGUGUAGCGGUGAAAUGCGCAGAUAUCAGGAAGAACACCCGUGGCGAAGGCGGUUCUCUGGGACGGUACUGACGCUGAGACGCGAAAGCGUGGGGAGCGAACAGG
rnacentral:rRNA from 1 species